CCGAUCUUAGCUCAGUUUGUAGAGCAGAGGACUGUAGUUGACCAAGCAGGAUCAUCCUUAGGUUGCUGGUUGGAAUCCAGCAGGUCGGA
rfam:Beta vulgaris subsp. vulgaris chromosome 8, whole genome shotgun sequence.